GCUUACGGCCAUACCAGCCUGGGUACGCCAUCUUCUGAUCUCGGAAGCUAAGCAGGGUCGGGCCUGGUUAGUACUUGGAUGGGAGACCGCCUGGGAAUACCAGGUGCUGUAAGCA
rnacentral:rRNA from 1 species